GCCGGCUCCUCUAUCUAUUUUGUGUCCGGCCGGGAGCCGCGCUCGAUGAUUCAUUGCCCCAAUUAGGGGUGCUCUCCUGCAAGCCCGGCGCGAGCCCUCUGAAGGGUCUCCUCGGGGACCCGCGGAAACCCAUCAGCCGCUAGAGCUGGUCUUUAAGUAAAGGUCAAGCAGGACGCGGGAGGAGCCAGGUAAGGACGCGCCCGGCGUCCCCCGGAGACCGAGGAGCCCGGCGAGGAAGGGCAGCUCUCCAGAGGGGCAGCCUCCGCCCCCAAGUAGGGACGCCGCCAAAUGAGCUGGGGCGGCCCCGGCCCCCUCCCCAUUCUAAAGGGCCUUUUACAGCCCUGAAGAGCCCUGGUUUGGGGGCACCUCUCAGGGCCCAGGGUUCUAAUCUUGGUGACAGAGGGACCAGGAGCUGUCCCCUAUCCCCCAGAACACAUUAGCGAAUGCACCGUCCUGGCCCUCCCCACCUUCGGCCAGGGGCAGAAAGGGUCCUGUAUGUCUGAGCUGUGUGUUCCAGGGCAAAUGACUUGACAACUCUGGGCCCUUUCUUCCUCUUCUUAAGCAGGAGCUCUGGCAGGGGAUUAACUGUUUCCAUGUAUUUACUUACCUAUGUAUAGAUACAUGUAUUUAUUAAACAGAGAGAAAGAGAGACCUCAGUAUGUGUCAGGGGUAGAAUCUAAGCACUUUAUACACAUCUGCUCAGUCGCUCCUCCCAAUCACUCUGGGUUAAGUGCCGUGAUCGGCCCAUUCUACAGAUGAGAAAGAAGAGACACUGAGCAUUAAGGUACUCUUCAGGAGUGGCGGAGCUGGGAUUCAGACGCCGGCAGCCGGCUCCAGGGCCCUGUUCUCAACUCCCCGGCUGUGCAGCGUCACUAAGCAAACGUCUGGUCCCCGUCAUCCGUCUGCUGAUGGAGACUGUCCACGGCAGGAGACACAGCCAGGACCUCUCCAUCCUCCCUGCCGCUCUGGCUCCAGCUGGGAGGCCUUGUGCAAAUCCAGGCCUCUCUGGGCCUCACACUUCCCAUCUGCAAAAUGCCCACCCCUUCCAGCUUCAAAAAUCUACGAGUCUCUGAUUUCUGAGCAGUGAACAGUCGUCCCAACCUGCCAGCUGGAGCCCAGAGUCAGCCCGGGGACAAAGGUGCCAGGGGCCUGGCACGUCGUAGGUGACUCUGUACGUGUGUGCGUGUUCAUCCUUCCUGGCUCUGUCCAGUGGCUGACGAGGUUCUGCUACUGCCUGUCUGCACUCCGAGGACUCAAGCGCGAUGGACUUGAAGAGCAGCGACAGAUGCUCCCAGGCGGCCCCGGCACUGGGAAUGGGGAGAAAACGCCCACCUCGGGUCUAUAGGAGACCAGGAGGCCGUGAGCCUGGAAUAUCCGGGCACCUCUCAAAUUUGCGGCUUCCUGUAGGGUCGUCUUGGCCCAGGAACUGCGGGAAUCUGCCCUCGCCCUGCGGGGGAGAGCAAAGCUUCCAGGCUCCGAGCACUCAUCACACGUUGGAUUAUGUGUCUGUCUCUGGGUGACUUCCCUCGCUGUGUCCCACAGCGUUACAAGGCCGGGGACAUAGUUGGGGCCCAAUCUAUGCUGAAACAUGGGAUACCAGACUCUAUCCAAAACCUCACAGUGCCUUCCAAGUUCCAGGAUCUCCUGCCAGCUUCCAGUCUUUCAUUCUUUUGAGUGCCAGCAAUGCAGACUAAAGCCUUCCAUGUGCCCCCAGCUCCCCGCACCAACCCUGGAGCCUGCCUCCCCUCCUCACCGGUACCCUUCUCCGUUUCCUCCUCUCUCUACACUGCGAAAGUUCCUCUGGCUCCUCUCCCAGGACCCCUUCACCUUCGGAGGCUGGUCCAUCGUUCCUCUUUCAGAGGCUACGUGUGCUGUGUGUUGGCCUCUGGUUCACUGGGGACCAGAAAAACAAAAUUUAUCAUCUGACUGUCGUAUUUUUUUUUCUUUCCAUUUUUUUUUUUUUUUUCCCGUAAGAAUGAAGCAAGCACUUCUCCUCUGUGCUCAGAAAGAGCUUCAAACAUGGCAGGC